CUCAAAUUAUAGAAUGUAAAAUAGAUAAAUGAAAGAUAAAAAGGUGUGGCUUAGCUGUAGCAGUUGAAAUAUGUGCAAGCACUGGUAAUCUUCAGGACAGAGGGAUGUUUUGCCACUGUACCUAUGUACGCGUAGAGCAGUCCUGAUAAAGUAAUUACUGCAACUUAUUGCUUGCAAUUUCUGUUUGCCUGUACCAUUGUUAUCUUCAUAUUGCAGGUAGUUACUGGUUAAUCUUCAUGUAUACAGCUGCAUGUAGCAUGUCCCUUGAUGUAGCAAAGCAGUUUGCUAGGGGUUGCAGAGCUGGAAGACAAGGUUACAGGAACGGGACAGUGCCAACAUGGGGAGGGUUCACUGAUGGAGAGGGAAUCUUUGCAAAGGUUACUGCUUACAAAGUCAUCUUUGUGUAGAUGGUUGGGUAUUUUUUUUUUCCUGCAAAUCUUUUUUGGUCUUAAAAGUGCUUAUUUUAGAUCUGUGCUCCUGUUUGCUUGGUAAGUUAAGUCUGGUAAAUGACAAGUGUAGAUAUCCACACUACUUCGAUGUUCCGGUUACAGGUGGGAGUCCAGUGGAACUGUUGUCAGACUCGUUGGAUGGCUCAUCAGUUUCUUCCCAAAUGGCUUUUUCACUUGUUUGUCCCCACCCUGAAGCCUUUUUAAAUUAACCUCAGUCAGUUUGGUUCCCUUGAUAGCUUGUUCUUGCUGGAGCUACUCUGAAAGCAUUCAGCAGAAGGGAAUUGGGCUGGCUGACGUUAUUCGUAGAAUCAUUUUAGUGCCAAUUAAGACAAUUAACUGUGUCUGGAGCAUGGCAUAGAGGAAAUGUAGAGUCAUGCUUCAAGCGUGUGCGUGCAGGUAUACAUACAACUAGUUAACCUCUUAGCCCUGUUAUUUGAUUUGCUAGGUUACCGCUAUUUCGGUUUCUCCCCUUUUGCCUUCCAGCAUUCAGCCACCUCUCACAAAUGUGCCUUCAGUCCCGAGCCUCAUUAGUCUUCCUGCUGUCCCUCGGUGCUAGGAAAAGUACUGCCAGUGAUCUAACUGUGCGAGGAGCAUGCUGCAUGCACUUGUGUAGGCUGAGGGAAGCAGCUCGCCAAGAGGAAUCAGAUCAGAGCGCGGAGCAUGGCAUAGCGUCUCCGUACCGGCCCUUCUGCAGGGAGCUGAAAUGGGGAAGCAACUGCAGGGAGCAGAGCUGCGUGAGGUGAAAAGCUAGGAAGUGUUCAGCUCUAGCUCAAGCAUCUGUUGUCUCAGCACUUGCUUGAAACUGCAGUGAUCAGCACCAGAAAGUCUGCGCUUGGAUUGUGGAACUGCUUAAAUAUAAUUGCAAGCCAUUGCUUGAAACUGGA